GGAGAGUGCCGUCCAACGGUGGACAAGCAGGUUUGAACCCUGUGGUGCUGGAAACGGUAGGGGUUCGAUUCCUCCACUCUCCU
rnacentral:tRNA from 1 species